rnacentral:rRNA from 1 species
GACGAACGCUGGCGGCGUGCCUAAUACAUGCAAGUCGAGCGAAUGGAUUAAGAGCUUGCUCUUAUGAAGUUAGCGGCGGACGGGUGAGUAACACGUGGGUAGCCUGCCCAUAAGACUGGGAUAACUCCGGGAAACCGGGGCUAAUACCGGAUAACAUUUUGAACCGCAUGGUUCGAAAUUGAAAGGCGGCUUCGGCUGUCACUUAUGGAUGGACCCGCGUCGCAUUAGCUAGUUGGUGAGGUAACGGCUCACCAAGGCAACGAUGCGUAGCCGACCUGAGAGCGUGAUCGGCCACACUGGGACUGAGACACGGCCCAGACUCCUACGGGAGGCAGCAGUAGGGAAUCUUCCGCAAUGGACGAAAGUCUGACGGAGCAACGCCGCGUGAGUGAUGAAGGCUUUCGGGUCGUAAAACUCUGUUGUUAGGGAAGAACAAGUGCUAGUUGAAUAAGCUGGCACCUUGACGGUACCUAACCAGAAAGCCACGGCUAACUACGUGCCAGCCGCCGCGGUAA